rnacentral:rRNA from 1 species
UACGUAGGGUGCAAGCGUUAAUCGGAAUUACUGGGCGUAAAGCGUGCGUAGGCGGCUAUGUAAGACAGAUGUGAAAUCCCUGGGCUUAACCUAGGAACUGCAUUUGUGACUGCAUUGCUAGAGUGUGGUAGAGGGAGAUGGAAUUCCGCGUGUAGCAGUGAAAUGCGUAGAUAUGCGGAGGAACACCAAUGGCGAAGGCAAUCUCCUGGACCUGCACUGACGCUCAUGCACGAAAGCGUGGGGAGCGAACAGG